rnacentral:rRNA from 1 species
GACGAACGCUGGCGGCGUGCUUAACACAUGCAAGUCGAGCGGAGCGGCGAACGGGUGCGUAACGCGUGAGUAACUGCCCCCCUCUCUGGGAUAACAGUUGUAAACGGCUGCUAAUACCGGAUAGUGGGGGAUGAAUCGCGUGCUAUCAGCUUGUUGGUGGGGUAGUGGCCUAACAAGGCGACGACGGGUAGCCGGCCUGAGAGGGCGACCGGCCACAUGGGGCUGAGAUACGGACCAAACUCCUACGGGGGGCAGCGGUGGGGAAUAUUGCGCAAUGGGGGAAACCCUGAUGCGGCAACGCCGCGUGCGGGAUGACGGCCUUCGGGUUAUAAACCGCGUUCAGCCAUGACGCGGUAGUGGCAGAAGAAGCACCGGCUAACUACGUGCCAGCAGCCGCGGUAAUUC